ensembl:misc_RNA Metazoa_SRP Metazoan signal recognition particle RNA
GCUGGGCGUGGUGGCGUGUGCCUGUAAUCUCAGCUUCUCAGGAGGCUGAGACAGGAGAAUUGCUUGAACCCAGGAGGCAGGGGUUGCAGUGAGCCGAGAUCACGCCACUGCACUCUGGCCUGGGUGACAGAGCAAGACUUCGUCUCAA